CCCCUCUCAGGGUCACACCUAGUGAGUUUCCAGUACUCUACCACAUUUGGCUACGGGAGGGAGAGUCAAGCAGAGGCAUACCCAUUCCAUUCCUAGCUUGGGCAGUGGAUGGUGAGUGGAAGACAAUUUGCUACAAGU